rnacentral:lncRNA from 1 species
GAAAAAAGAAAAAAAGGACCAAAAUGUAACCAAGAGGCCAUUUCUGAGACGUGGAACUGAUCGAACUCAAUGUUCUCGUUUACUUAACUUUGGACCUUCUUGAGAAAAGUGGGAUUUUUUUCUCUACCUGGACCACGAGGUAGAUCAGGAUGGAAGGCUGAAUUCUCCAGUAGGCUGUGGGGCUUGGUAGCUGGUGAAGAGCAGGCAUCUUUCCUGAGUUGCCAUGCUCUUGCAGAGUUGAUCCAAGGGUUAAAACGUUACAAGAACAGGGUCUUGUCUGAUCCAAGACUAGCAUCUGACUGGCUGAAACCCUCAUGUUGUCUAUGGUCCUAUGUCCAGAUCACCUACUCACACAUGAAUUAUGUUCUGUGUUGCUACAAGUGCUGGAGCUGCAAGCUACCUGUAAAUCUGAACCUGUGCUGGGCCUCCCAACCCUGAAGUGUUCAGAUCUCCACUGGGCAUGGGAACUCUUUAAGUAUUAUAAAGUAGCUUAUUUUUAUUUUCUGAAAGAAAUCUGAAGAGCAGUUCUGGAUCUCCAGUGGAAAGCGCAAUGGAAAAAAGGUUCUCAGGGAAGCUUUUGGAGUUUGCAACUACAGUAUUCCUUUGUCUGUCUUAAAUAUGAGAAUAGCUAUUAUGAAUAGGCCAAUACCAGAUAUUUCAUACGGAAGAAUUCUUUAAUGUGUCAUGGUCCGGUGUAUAUGAUUUUUUGGAAGUCUGUUUGAUGACAGUUCUGGUUCUUUUCAUUAUUGUGAUCACCCUUGCAGCGGCGCAGUACUGCCAGUCCAGAGAUCAUACAUCAAAUGCCAGAGAAAUGGCUGAGAUUGUGAUGAACAGCAAAAAACCAAGAACCAAAAACCAACAAGAAGAGAGAUGUCAAUUGACGGCCAGCAAAGUGCUUACUACCACCAAUCGGUAGUUGAUUUCCUACAGGUAUCAACAAGGCAAUGGGUAUUUUGGGGUUUGGUGUUCUAUGCUUGUGCAAAAUCACAGCACAAGUGCUGUGAAAAGGGAGGAAAAAAGAGUAUUCAGGUAUUGGGUAUUCUUCCAAAGAAGCAUUCUGUAAGCAGCUCGGUCCAUGCAGCCCACUGUGCACUUAAAGAACAACUUGAUGAAUGUCUUUGUGACGCUGCUCUGCAGCACCCCGCAUGCUCUCCCAACGUUCAUUCCCAUCUGGAGCUUGCUAUUCCCCUCCUGGAAAUGCUUUGGAAGCAGAGGGGGGGAAAAGCCCCCUGAGGGGUCCCAGCAUGGGGCACAUCCUGCAUCCCACAUCCCUCCCAGCAGCGGGGCGGGCAGAGCUGGGGUGGGUUUUGCUGAGCCCUCCUAAAGGCAAGACUGUGGUGUCAUUUCAAGCCCAAUCCUGCAGAUAUUUAGCUUUUAGGGUGUAAUCCAUGGUUUGGAGUUGGUGGAAAGCUCCUCAGUGACUGCAGCAGCCGCUCGGUCCGGCCUUGGAGCUCAUGAGUGAUUCAACUCAUGUUGGUUCCCCUGUCGAGCCAACAGGGCAGCUGGGGUGGGUGGGUUUGCUCAUGUCCUUAGGUGUUUGCAGGAUCAGACUCCAUGAGUUCACUUAUUUUAGAACCCAUUCCAAGUGCAAAAAUACAAAAGAAAGGGGAAAAUAAAUAAAUAAUAAUAAUUUGAGGUGUUAAAAACACAACGUUCUUAACAUGUAAAUAGAGUCCAAAUUGAUUGUGACUGCAAUUCAGUUAGUAUUUAAAAGUAGAGAAAUUGCACUUCCUGGAAGAAAGAGAGGGGAAAAACCCAUAAGUAGUUAGUUUAAUUAUCCUGUAAAUUAUUUAAUUUUGGCAAGAUGUAUGUAAUUUAUAUUUACGACACCUUUCUGUUAACUUUUUUUGCUAUUUAUUUAACUUUUUUAUUUAUUAAUUUUCUACUGAUUUGAAAACUGGACACUGCACCAUAGGGAAAAAAAGAAAGGCAAAAAAA